rnacentral:rRNA from 1 species
CACGUAGGGUGCGAGCGUUGUCCGGAAUUAUUGGGCGUAAAGAGCUCGUAGGCGGUCUGUCGCGUCGGCUGUGAAAACCCGGGGCUCAACCCCGGGCCUGCAGUCGAUACGGGCAGACUAGAGUACUGCAGGGGAGACUGGAAUUCCUGGUGUAGCGGUGGAAUGCGCAGAUAUCAGGAGGAACACCGGUGGCGAAGGCGGGUCUCUGGGCAGUAACUGACGCUGAGGAGCGAAAGCGUGGGGAGCGAACAGG